GCUGGGUGGUGUGGCCUAUGUCUGUAAUUCCAGUGGCUCAGGAGGCUGAGGCAGGAGGAUCACUAGUUCAAAGCCAGCCUCAGCAACUUAGUGAGGCCCUCAGCAACUCAGUGAGACCCUGUCUUUA
rnacentral:sRNA from 1 species